rnacentral:rRNA from 1 species
UACCAGCACCCCGAGUGGUCGGGACGUUUAUUGGGCCUAAAGCAUCCGUAGCCGGUUCUACAAGUCUUCCGUUAAAUCCACCUGCUUAACAGAUGGGCUGCGGAAGAUACUAUGGAGCUAGGAGGCGGGAGAGGCAAGCGGUACUCGAUGGGUAGGGGUAAAAUCCGUUGAUCCAUUGAAGACCACCAGUGGCGAAGGCGGCUGCCAGAACGCGCUCGACGGUGAGGGAUGAAAGCUGGGGAGCAACCGG